rnacentral:rRNA from 1 species
GUGCAGCAGGCGCGAAAACUCCGCAAUACGCGAAAGCGUGACGGGGCCAUCCCGAGUGCCGUCCGCUGAGGAUGGCUUUUCCCUAGUGUAGAUAGCUGGGGGAAUAAGGAGAGGGCAAGUCUGGUGUCAGCCGCCGCGGUAAUACCAGCUCUUCGAGUGGUAGGGAUGUUUAUUGGGCCUGAAGCAUCCGUAGCUGGCUGUGCAAGUCCUCCGUUAAAUCCAGCGAUUUAAUCGUUGGAUUGCGGGGGAUACUGUUCGGCUAGGGGAUGGGAGAAGCCAACGGUAUUCCGGGGUAGGGGGAAAAUCCUAUAAGCCCGGGAAGACCACCAGUGGCGUAGGCGGUCGGCUAGCACGCGCUCGACAGUGAGGGACGAAAGCUGGGGUAGCGAACCGGAUUAGAUACCCCCGUAGUCC